rnacentral:rRNA from 1 species
GAGUUUGGUCCUGGCUCAGAUUGAACGCUGGCGGCAUGCCUUACACAUGCAAGUCGAACGGCAGCACGGGAGCUUGCUCCUGGUGGCGAGUGGCGAACGGGUGAGUAAUGCAUCGGAACGUAUCCUGGAGUGGGGGAUAACGUAGCGAAAGUUACGCUAAUACCGCAUAUUCUGUGAGCAGGAAAGCGGGGGACCUUCGGGCCUCGCGCUCUUGGAGCGGCCGAUGUCGGAUUAGCUAGUUGGUGAGGUAAAGGCUCACCAAGGCGACGAUCCGUAGCAGGUCUGAGAGGAUGAUCUGCCACACUGGAACUGAGACACGGUCCAGACUCCUACGGGAGGCAGCAGUGGGGAAUUUUGGACAAUGGGGGCAACCCUGAUCCAGCCAUGCCGCGUGAGUGAAG